AGUGAACGCUGGCGGUAGGCCUAACACAUGCAAGUCGAACGGCAGCACAGUAAGAGCUUGCUCUUACGGGUGGCGAGUGGCGGACGGGUGAGGAAUACAUCGGAAUCUACUUUUUCGUGGGGGAUAACGUAGGGAAACUUACGCUAAUACCGCAUACGACCUACGGGUGAAAGCAGGGGAUCUUCGGACCUUGCGCGAUUGAAUGAGCCGAUGUCGGACUAGCUAGUUGGCGGGGUAAAGGCCCACCAAGGCGACGUUCCGUAGCUGGUCUGAGAGGAUGAUCAGCCACACUGGAACUGAGACACGGUCCAGACUCCUACGGGAGGCAGCAGUGGGGAAUAUUGGACAAUGGGCGCAAGCCUGAUCCAGCCAUACCGCGUGGGUGAAGAAGGCCUUCGGGUUGUAAAGCCCUUUUGUUGGGAAAGAAAAGCAGCAGGUUAAUACCCCGCUGUUCUGACGGUACCCAAAGAAUAAGCACCGGCUAACUUCGUG
rnacentral:rRNA from 1 species